CACAUUUGGCGGGUGCCAAGCCUGGCCGCUCGCUUCUCCGGCCCUCCAGAGCAGCCUCAGGCUUAGCUUCCCGAAUAUCAGCUCCAGUUGGCUGCUUCUCCAGUCCCGAGCCCUUGACCUGGAGGAGGGGACGGGACCGGGGACCUCGGCUGGGAUUUUUACCUGGCAUGGGUCGCCGCGGCUAGGGAGGAAGACCACUUGCUCUCCGUUUCUUUCUGGAAGAAAGCCCCUCACCACCCAGCUGCCGGCCCAACCCUGGACGGACACACAAAUAUCUGUGCUGCCCACAUCCAGCCAACACAGGCAGCAGGAUAUUUCCUCCUAGUCAGACUGGGUGUUCUAAACCAUGUAGAUAAAGGCCACUUGCCCAGGAAGGGGGAGCAAGAAGGUCCUGGUUUCACCGUGAACAUAAAUCACUGUUUUGGCAGUCUACCAUACUAUCCAUCAGACUAGCCUUUCAGAGGAAAAUGCCAGAGGCAGCAACUGAAAACAGCUUGUAGGAGUCAUCAGUUAGUCACUGAAGCAAAUCAUUUGAGAGAAGAUAAAGACGAGCUCUUGACAUUCCUGGGACAAGAAGACCUGCCCUGUGAGGCUCGCCUGUGAGCGGCUCAGCUUCUCCUAC
ensembl:lncRNA LINC01586 long intergenic non-protein coding RNA 1586